GAGACAGCCCCAGUUAAAUGUUUUCCACAGCAAUGGAAGCCCUAACUAAGACACUUGGCCACAUAUAAUUCUUUUAACCUCUAGCUAGAUCCAAUACUUCGUUUCAAAAAAAAAAAGAAAGAAAGAAAGAAAGAAAGAAAGAAAGAAAGAAAAAUUUCAUCUCUAACCCAACCAAUAAAUGAUAUUUACUAAAAGAUAAACUCGUGCUGGAUCAUAAAUCAAUGGCCUAAAAAAAAAUGAUUCAACUUUAUGAGUUCAUUUCUGGGCCUGGAUCCAUAAGACUAUUGGCUGAUAGAGCGAAAGAUGAGUUCAUUUCAACUGAGCAGGCAGCGCAAGUGUAAACGUUGCAGGGUGAGCCAAGGUCAUUUGGGCCAGGCAUUCUGGAGUUCCCCCCAGAAGACGGUCAAUCAGAUCAUUCUGGUCCUUCUGCGCACCAAGAAUAACUUUAUCUUUACCUAAAUGCUAAUGCAGCACAGUUCUCGAAAGGCUCAUGGGCUCAGCAAGCCUCCGAGUCACCCGGGGACCAAGGGUGUUCCGAGAGGGGUGCAUCUAAGCUGGGACUGAAGGAACCAUCCUCAAUUAUCUCAGCCCUUGGGAGGAGGAAAUAGGAGAAUACAGAGUUCAAGGUCCCAUUGGGCCACACGGGAAUGGCAAGGCCAGCCUAGCCUGCACGAGACCACGUUUCAAAAUACGCCCUCCCCAAAACAAAACAAAACGAAGAAGGCCCUCCUAGCCAAGAAAACAGUGCGUGGGAGCCUCUGAGUUUAUCUUGCACUAGUCUGCUGCUGCUGUGGCUGGUACUCCAUCUGGCCCAAGGGGAAAUUCCGCCCAGCUGUCCCCUCCCAGGAAGCUUGGUUGGCAGGGUGCCUAGUGAGGAGAACUCCCAGGCAUGGCGCGUGCUCCGUUUGCCAAAGGACAGGGCGUCCAACCAACUGGAAGGGGCCGGUUCAACACGCUGAACUUACUGAAGGCUUUGUAAGAAUACACUCAGAUACAGACGGACAGGUCUUCAGGAAGCUCUGCAGCCUGUACAGGGACCAAACUCAAAACGCAACCUGUAAGACACAGAAGCUCUACAAUCAGAAAGGCUAGACUCCAUGCGCUCCGAGGUUUCUAGCAGAAGGUGUGGCCCAGGUUGAAGGUGUGUCUUCCUGACUCAAGUCUGGAUCAAAGAUGUGUGUUGCCCUACCUGGAAGGUGAGGACUAAAAGUGAAUUCACCUACCAAGGAGGGAAAAAACUCUCACAGGUUGAAUCAUAUUCCUUUGCAUGGGCCAGGUGGCAGCGUCCCAUCAUGGAAGAUUUAUAAUACAAGUUAACAGAUAGGAGAGAGGGGCAGGGAGGGAGAGAGGAAGAAGAGGAAGAAGAGGAAGAGGAGGAAGAAGAGGAGGAGGAAGAGGAGGAGGAAGAAGAGGAGGAGGAGGAGGAAGAGUAAGAAUUUCUUCUGAAGAGUAGCUACUGGUGAGUUGCCCACCAUCCCACAAACAACCCCUAACCCAUGCUCCUAUAAAUGAAUCUGUGAACUCAUUGGGUCACACAGCCAUGGAAAUACAGAAGUUGAGAAUGCAUAAGCUGGGUGGAUAAAGGAGUGUCCAAAGUUUAAGGGUCAAGAGGGAGUAACAUAUAUGUAUGAAUACAACCAAAUUACAUUGUAUACGUGCACAAGAAUGUCAAUCCAUUAUCGUCUAUAACUAAUAAGUACUAAUAAAAACAUCUAAAAUAUGCCAUUGCCUGGAUAUACCGUAUUUUGUAUAUAGACUCAUUAUUUGUAAGACAUUCAGGUUAUUUUCAUCUUUUAGACAUUAUGAGCAUUCACAUACAAGGUUUUUAGGGUUUUUGAGGUUUUGCUCCCCCUUCCCCCACAACAUUUGUUCACAGUGCUCAGGAUUGAAUGUAGAGCUCAGGAAAUAAAAAGGCAAGCACACUGAUGCUAAGCUAUGGCACCGCAGCUAUGGUAGACUCACUUUUAUAUAUUAACUAUUUUGUUAUAUAUCCAAGAGUAGACUUUCUGGCUUAUAUGUGUCUUCGCAUACUUGGACUACAAAGUACCAGAAUGAGGCACCUUAUAAAUAAGAGAGUUUCUGGAUGCUGGGAAGUCCAUUUCUGUUUGGUAAGAACCCCUUUUAUUUCGCAGAUGGUGCAUUCUAGCUUUGUACAUGUAUAAGAGCCAACGAUCUAAUCAAAGGGAGCCCUUGUGGCCCCCUCACUUCAGUACUACUACUUUGGAGGCUAGGGUUUCAACUUAGGAAUUUGGUGGAUGGCUUACCACAAACCCACUUUAACUUUUUGAGGCAUUGCCAAGUUGUUUCAAAGCAACUGGCCAUUGGUAUUCACUUCAGCAAUAUGUAUGAACAGCAGUUUCUGUAGAGAGCAGGGGGGAAGGGUAGUCCUGUGAACCCCUCGUGAUGACAGUAGUUGUGCUUACCUGCAGAGGCCCGAAUAAGGUAGAGCCAUCAGGCACUGGAGAGAUGGCUCAGUGGUGAAGAGCACUGAUUUGUUCUUCCAGAGGUCCUGAGUUCAAUUCCCAGCAACCACAUGGUGGCUCACAACCAUCUGUAAUGGGAUUCGAUGCCCCCUUCUGUUCUGUCUGAAGAGAACAACCGUGUACUCGCAUACAUAAAAUAAAUAAAUACACCUUGAAAAAGAAAAAAAGAUUGAGCCAUCAACAUCCCAUCAACAAUCUUUGGGGAAUGGACGGACCAUCAGCUGAGGAACUAUUGCCAAGUAAACGUUCCUGGGGAGGGAGACUCAUUUUUCUUCAGGAUGUAGCUACUGGUAAAUUGCCCAUGCGCCAAUAAAUAAUUCCCACACCAGUAUGAAUUCCAACAGCUCUUCUUAAACUCAGUAAGAGAGUAGAAGGGGGGCACGUUAGAAAGGAGGAAUUUCAGAGGUAGUUGGGGGAGAUACGAGAAGGACAAAGAUGGGGCUGGAGAGAUGGCUCAGCCGUUAAAGGCUAGGCUCACAACCAAAAAUAUAAGAGAAGGACAAAGAUGAUCAAAGAAUGCUAUCUAAACAUUGUCAAAUGCUAUACACACAAACAAAGGUUUUGUGAUAUUUCCAGAUGCUAGCCUGAUAUUUCCAGAUGCUAGCCUGAGAGUCCUAGUGCCAUCAUUUUACAUUGUAAUUACUGUAGUAGGUAUGAGGUAUCAACUGUCCUAUUGCCAUCUUCUUACAUUGUAAUUACUGUAGUAGGUAUGAGGUAUCAACUGUCCUAUUGCCAUCUUCUUACAUUGUAAUUACUGUAGUAGGUAGGAAGUAUCAACUUCUUUUAGCUCUGCUUUACGUCUCCCUGAUGACACUAAGCCUCUUCUUAGAUAUUUAUGGCCAUUCAUGUAUCUCCUGUUUAUCGGUAUCCCUUGCUCAUUAAAAACUAUUUAUCUCUUUCCAGGGGUGGGGGCACAUGCACUCAGGAGGCUGG
rnacentral:sRNA from 1 species